CGGGCGAGGGGGCCGCAGCGGGAGCGGACCGGGCCGGAGCCGAGCCGGAGCUGAGCCGGGGUCGGGCCCGCGGAGCGGGGCCCGGGCGGGGAGCAGCCAUGGCGCCGCGCAGGGCCGGGGCCCGCGCCGCGCAGGGCGGCCUGGGUGCCGAGUAGCCGGGCCGGAGCGCGGGCGGCGGCGGCGGCGGCGGCGGAGGCAGCUGCGCCCGUGCCCCCCGCUCUCCAGGCCCCGCGCCCCGCGCCCGGGCCGCCGGCGAUGGUGACACAUGCGGCGGCGGCGCGCCGGCGGCAGGACCAUGGUUGAGCGCGCCAGCAAGUUCGUGCUGGUGGUGGCGGGCUCGGCGUGCUUUAUGCUCAUCCUCUACCAGUACGCGGGCCCGGGACUGAGCCUGGGCGCGCCCGGCGGCCGCGCGCCGCCCGACGACCUGGACCUCUUCCCCACGCCCGACCCGCACUACGAGAAGAAGUACUACUUCCCGGUGCGCGAGCUGGAGCGCUCGCUGCACUUCGACAUGAAGGGCGACGACGUGAUCGUCUUCCUGCACAUCCAGAAAACGGGCGGCACCACCUUCGGCCGCCACCUCGUGCAGAACGUGCGCCUCGAGGUGCCCUGCGACUGCCGGCCCGGCCAGAAAAAGUGCACCUGCUACCGGCCCAACCGCCGCGAGACCUGGCUCUUCUCCCGCUUCUCCACGGGCUGGAGCUGCGGGCUGCACGCCGACUGGACCGAGCUCACCAACUGCGUGCCCGGCGUGCUGGACCGCCGCGACCCCGCCGCGCUGCGCACGCCCAGGAAGUUCUACUACAUCACCCUGCUGCGAGACCCCGUGUCCCGCUACCUGAGCGAGUGGCGGCACGUGCAGCGGGGGGCCACGUGGAAGACAUCGCUGCACAUGUGCGACGGGCGCACGCCCACGCCCGAGGAGCUGCCGCCCUGCUACGAGGGCACCGACUGGUCGGGCUGCACGCUGCAGGAGUUCAUGGACUGCCCCUACAACCUGGCCAGCAACCGCCAGGUACGCAUGCUGGCCGACCUGAGCCUGGUGGGCUGCUACAACCUGUCCUUCAUCCCCGAGGGCAAGCGGGCCCAGCUGCUGCUGGACAGCGCCAAGAAGAACCUGCGGGGCAUGGCCUUCUUCGGCCUGACCGAGUUCCAGCGCAAGACGCAGUACCUGUUCGAGCGGACGUUCAACCUCAAGUUCAUCCGUCCCUUCAUGCAGUACAACAGCACGCGGGCGGGCGGCGUGGAGGUGGGCGAGGACACCAUCCGGCGCAUCGAGGAGCUCAACGACCUGGACAUGCAGCUCUACGACUACGCCAGGGACCUCUUCCAGCAGCGCUACCAGUACAGGCGGCAGCUGGAGCGCCGGCAGCAGCGCCUCCGGAGCCGCGAGGAGCGCCUGCUGCACCGGGCCAAGGAGGCGCCGCCGCGGGGGGACACCGAGGAGCCCGGCCGCGUGCCCACCGAGGACUACAUGAGCCACAUCAUCGAGAAGUGGUAGUGGCGGCCGGCGGGGGCAGGUGGGACCAGACAGACUGACCGACACACACGGCCCCCAGAACUCCGUGGGAAGAGGACCCCCGUCCGCUCGCCAGAAGACGGACAAACGGUUGAGGGAGGGGAAGGGGUGGGCCUGGUGGGUCAGUUCUUCCCACCCUCCCAGGCCGGGGCUCUGAGAAAUCAACGUGGGAACCCUCUGGGUCAGAGGGAAGGGUGCUUGGAGGACCCCCCCGACCAGGCCUGCAGGGCUGGGAGCAGGUAUGUCCCCGCUCUCCCGUCCUCAUGGUCACAACGGCCACAGGUUUGAAGACUAGAAAAAUCCAGUGCAGUGGAAGGCGGACCUGCCAGGCCAGGUGUGUGGUCACGCCCACCAGGCACACGCCCGCUGCCUCCCCCACCCCACCCCCCACAGGUAGCUCAGCCUCCAGGGAACCCCUGGCCCCAAGGCCUGCAUGGAGACACAGCAGCCCUCUGAGGUAGCCUCAGGAAUGGAGCUCCCAGCUCACCCAUCUUCAGGGUCAGGGCCCACCCCGUCUGAAGCCAAGAAGACUCUAGUCCAGCCCCUGGGAAGCCCACUCCCCUCUCUAGCCCAAGGUCAAAACCCACAGUGUGGCUUCAUGCUUCGGGUCAAGAGAUCAAAGCACAUCACCUGGGGUCCCCCACCCCGUUUUCCUCAGUCCCCAGACCGAGGGGCGCUGUGGGGAGAUGGGCCCCGUGCUGCACUGCCCCCUUGCAUGGGCGGAGGGCAUCCCAGGAGUAGGAAGGCCGUAGGUGAGGAUGCUUCCACCUGGGUCCAGGCAGACCUCCCAGCCAGACCAGCUCAGACAGGAAGGGGGACAGAAAUCAAGAGCUCUCCCUGCCCGCAUUGUCCUUUCUGACCCUCUGGGCUUUGUUAGUGGGCUGCCCCCAGCCCCAAGCCCAUGACUUGGACAUUUAGGUGGGACUUAGACCCGUUCCCCCCACAGCCCCGUGUAUAAACUUCAGCCAAGCCUCCGUUGGCUGGAACGCUGCAGACCACAGCCACUGCCCACGAGCCAUACUUUGGGGCCAUGGUGGUUCAGGACAGCCAGGAAAGGGUACUCGGGCUUUCAGAUUCUCCUCCAGGAUUGGAAGAAACAGCUCUGGGUGGCUCCCCUAGUACCCAGACACACAGCCCCACGACCCUGGGCUCUCCCCGCGUUUUCCUGCGCCCUUGCCCCUACCAGCUGGUCAGGCCUGUUCCCCGCAGCCCUGCAGAUUGGAGAAGCCAUGUUCAGUCCAUUGUAGACACUUGCCCCACGCCCGUCCCUCCUGUGCUCGAGGAGGCCAGGCCAGCGUCGCCUCAGGACGUGCACCCCCAGACCUGAGGCCCGAGACCUGGUUCUGGGGAGCUGAGUGUGAGCCCCACGCCCGAGGUGGAAGGGCACCCCGUCUCCCCAGGAGAGGAAGCACGCGUGCCCGGCGGCUGCAGGCCCGACUCAAGGAGGGUGGUGAGGGCCCCGGGCCCCCGGCAGCCUCCUGGGCAGAUCCUGCCAGGGUUCCCUGCCCCAGGUUCCCCUUGGCCACCCGAGCUGCCCUCCUGUGGAAUGAGGGGGUGGGAGCCGAGACCCUUCCGUAAGCGCUGGAAGGGUUGGGGUGUUGUCGCAUGAGGUGGCUACCCAGGAGCCAGCAGCUGUAGUCUCUGCUUGUCUGGCCUGAGGGCCCCCCCCUUCCAGCUUCCUGCGCUGGCCACUUCAUCCUGCAGUCCAAGGACAGCGCAGUCAGCAGGCCCCCGAGAGCGGACACGUCGUGCUGCGGAGGUGAGCGCUCAGGUGGCUCUUUUAAAGGGGUGUGAAGGUCAGCAUGGGGGUCUGCUCCGAUACUCAUCUGGGGCGGGCGUGCUCCAGGGAGGAGGGUGGGACACGUUCACGAGAGCUCUGGGGUCUCGCACGAGCACCUGCGACGCUAGGGGCUUGCUGUGGCCUCCCACCGGGAGGAAGGCCGUUCUGCGUGAGCCCCCCCGGGCACCCGGCCAGUGGCCUGGCUCAAGCAGCCCUCCCCAAGGUGCGCUCCUGGGGGUGUGGGCCCGAGUGCAGGAUGUGUUUUGUACAUAAUGGAGUGUUUUAACUCAUGGCCCGUUGUCCCAAGUCACACGGUCUCCUCGGUUUCUUCACUGCAUCUGGAAGGAGGUCCUGGCUCCGGCCAGCAUCCAGGCAGGGGUGCCAGUGACAGCACCGGCUGGCAGUGCCCCUCGGCCACUCGGGUCUCCCGUGCAGCACUGCCGGCUCAGGACGCCUGCUCUGAGGUCAAGAUGAAUGUUAGCAGAUGAAAUAAACCCUGAAAAGGAACGCUGGUGUGUGUGGUCUGUGGUCACAUAGCAACGCGCCUGGCGUGGCGCCGUCCCGGUUUGAUUUUCGAAAUGAGCAUCUGUGAGCUUGCAGGAAUCACACAGGAGCAGACGGGCUUCCCUCAGGAGCAGGCGGUGGCCCAGCGCGAGAGGAGUUAACACACUGUGUCACUCAGCCUUGCUUUGCGAAAGUAAGAAAUGUGACUGUCAUCACCGCAAAGAAUAACUUGGGGACUUCCCUGGCGGUCCAGCGGUUAGGACUCGGCGCUUUCACUGCCGAGGGCCCAGAAUCCAUCCCUGGUCAGGGAACUAAGAUCCCACAAGCCGCGCGGCGUGACCAAAAAAAGAAUAACUUACCAGUCAUUAAUUAUAGGACUUGAAAAGAUGAGGCCCGCUUAAGGGAAGACAGAGCAAUGCAGACAGCGUGUGCUGACUUUCUGAGCCUCCUUCCCCUCAACUUUAAUUUUGAAACAUUGCAAAUUUUGAAACAUUGCAAAUUUUGAAACAUUGCAAAUGACAGGUUGAAAGAGUAGGUCGUGGACACCAUAAACCCUUAGCUGAGAUUCCCCUGGAUUAACAUGUGUCAUAUUUUGUUAUCCUGCACUCCCACUCGUUUUCUGUCUCUGCACACACGCAUCACACACGUGCACGUGGACACACGCACAUUUUUCUGAAACAUUGGAAGUUGCAGUCCCCAGAAUACUUCAAAAUA